UAAGGGGAAGAAUGACACGGUCUGGUUGGCAGUUUGGAAAGAUGCCUCUGGCUGCUGGGUGCGGGUUUGGAAGGAGCAGAGACAAGAGAAGGGGCUGGAACGAGGACCCAGUUUCAGCACAGAAAGUCUUGUGUCCUGAAAACCUCCUCAGUCUCCACAAAGCGGAAGAGGUAGGUGGCCACACCAGCAGGUCAAUCGGUCAGCUGCUCACAAUAAUUUUAAAGAUAAUAAAUAGCAAACAUAUGUUGGAUGCUUAUUACGUGCCAGACGCUGUUCUAAUGACAAUUUCAUGCUCAAUUAAUCUUCAUAAGAAUCCGUGAAUAUUAUUAACAUCUCCCCUUACAUUGUGACAUAAAGAGGCUCCACAAUUGCCAAAGUCACACAGCUUCGGAAUAGUCGAGCCAGGAUUUGAUUCCAGGCUGUGUGGCUCCAGAGCUCCUAUAUUUACCCAUGAUCUCUAUUAUACAUUUGAAUGUAUUUCAAAACAUGUUUUUAAAAUAGUAACAAUGACAAUAAUAAUGAAGAUAUAAAAUAUUUUGGGAAACAGUAAGCAUGAUAAUAAAAAUUUUGAACACACAAAUGUGCAUUCCAAAGGCUGAACCCAGCAGAGACUAUUUCUAUGAUCAUUUUGACCACUGGAUUGACGCAUUGCUGUGCAGACCGCAGAAUAAAGCAUUUUGAGCCGGGGAUUUAGCUCAGUGGUUCCGCCGCCUGCCUCACAAACACAAGGUCCCAAGUUCAAUCCCUGGUACCAAAAAAAAAAAAAGAAGAAGAAGAAGCAUUUUGGCCACCUUGACUAAAUGAAAGCUGGAACAAAAGACUCGGAUGUUGACAGUGCCAUGUGGGCAAUGUCAGCAAGCAGGAAGGAGUGAGGAUCAUGGCAAAAAUGGGAAUGGAAUUUAUGGGCUGAGAAGGAGCAGCGAAGAAUCAACUCCCAGCACUUGAGACGGGGGCCCAGCUGUGGCAGAUCCCUCAGGAAAAGCCAGAUUCGCACACUAAACAGCAACAAAUCCAAUGAAAACAAAAUAGAGACACCAGGUGCAUGAAACAAGAUACAGCAAUGAAAAUGAAUAAACUUCAGCAAAAAAUGCGGAUGAAUCUCACAAACUUAAGCCAGGCACGGAGAGGCGCACCACGCGUCAUUCAUUUUCUAUCACUUUCGGCAGCCUCAAAACUCAUCUUCAGUGUUCGGAGGCAGAAGUGGGGUUGGGGGGUGGGGAGGAGGGAUUGGAAGGACAGAAGGAGGACCUUCCGGCCACCUCUGUUCCUCAUCUGGUGCCAACGACAUGGUAGCAUUGUCUAUGUGACAAUCCAUUCAACUGUGCUCUUAAAUUUGGGGCACUUUUAAGGUAUAUUUUUUAAUUUACAUACAAUUUUUAUGGCACACAUAUACCCACAAGCCAUUACCACUUGGAAAUAUGUCUCUGGAUGAAGCAAGAUAUACUUGAAUAUAAAAGAAAUUAAAUACUAGAAUAAUCGGA